rnacentral:rRNA from 1 species
ACCCGCUGAAUUUAAGCAUAUAAGUAAGCGGAGGAUAAGAAACUAAAUAGGAUUCCCUCAGUAAUGGCGAAUGAACAGGGAUAAGCUCAGCUUGGAAAUUGGGCCCUCUGGGCUUGAAUUGUAGUCUUUCGAUGGCAUUGCCAGCGGAGGCGCAGAUGUAAGCCUCUUGGAAAAGAGCAUCAAUGAGGGUGAGAGUCCCGUUUGUCAUCUGCAGUCCUCUGUUUACGGUGUGCUUUCUAAGAGUCACGUUCCUUGGGACUGGAGCGCAAAUUGGGUGGUAAAUUUCAUCUAAAGCUAAAUAUUGGUUCGAGACCGAUAGCAAACAAGUACCAUGAGGGAAAGGUGAAAAGGACUUUGAAAAGAGAGUUAAAAGUGCCUGAAAUUGCUGAAAGGGAAGCGAAUGGAACCAGUCUUCUUGGUGAGAUUGUUGUGCGCUAUUGUGAUUGCUUUCUGCUUCAACGCAAGUGUUGCAGUGGGUUUUGAGCAUGACGCGCACUUUGUUUCUCACCUCGUGUGUCAACGUCGGUUCAGAUUUGAGGAAAACUCUAGGGACAUGGGUAAUUGCUCGCGAGUGAUUGAAUGUGCCUGGUAGAACUCAUGUCUAAACUGAUUUCCGCAUGUCUGGUCGCAGUGUUCUCAUUACCUGCGUCUGGGUUCGUGGCUUGUAGCUUCUGUUACUCGUCGCGGGCUCUGGGCCUGGUCGUGGAGCAUCUCCCUGACAUUAGUACGAUGACAAAAUGGUUUCAUUCGACCCGUCUUGAAACACGGACCAAGG